rnacentral:lncRNA from 1 species
UUUUUUUUUUUUGUCUUUUGUCUUUUUGUUGUUGUUAUUGUUGCUAUUUCUUGGGCCGCUCCUGCGGCAUAUGGAGGUUCCCAGGCUAGGGGUUGAAUCGGAGCUGUAGCCACCGGCCUACGCCAGAGCCACAGCAACGCGGGAUCCGAGCCGUGUCUGCAACCUACACCACAGCUCACGGCAACGCCGGAUCGUUAACCCACUGAGCAAGGGCAAGGAUCGAACCCGCAACCUCAUGGUUCCUAGUCGGAUUCGUUAACCACUGCGCCACGACGGGAACUCCGGUUAAUAUUUGUUAAUAAUCAAAUAGCUGAGAAGGAAAAAAAUAUUCUCAAUAUUAGCUGAAAGUCAUUACCUUUUAGAUUUUCUCAAACAAUUUACUACUUGGCUUUAGAAGAGUCUCUAAAUACUUGAUAUCUUCCCCCAAGAUUCUUUCAAAACACUCACUCCACCUCCACCUCUCCCUCUCCUCACACACCCUGUAACUCUAGCCUAACAUACCUGGGCUUCUUACAGGUGACCUCCCCUGCAUAUGCAUGGCAUCCAGAUGUUUGCUAAAGUACUUCUGUAGGCAUCUCCUGAUGGCAGGUGUACUCACAGCUGGAAAAACCAACUGUGGAAGGCUAAAAAAUGGCCCCCCAAAGACAUGUUCACUUCUUAAUCCCUAGAAAUUGUGAAUGUUAUCUUAUAUGGCCAAAGAGAAACUACUGCAUCAUAUGGAAAAAAAAAUGAUUAAGUUAAAGAUAUUGAGAGGAGGUGCUUAUGCUGGAUUAUUUGGGUAGGCUCUAAAUGCAAUUACAUGUAUCCUUAUAAGAGAGAGGCAGAGGCAGUUUUGAAACAAACAGAAAAGACAGACACAGAGGAAAGGGCAAUGUAGAGUUGAAACAAGAGAUUUGGAGAGAUGUGGCCAUAAACCAAAGAACACCAAGAUUCUUGUCUGCAGUCUGGAAGCCACAAGAGGCAAGAAAUGGAUUCUCCCCUGAGGCUGAUUUUGGACUUCUGGUCUACAGAAUUAAUGAGAGAAUAAAUUUGUGCUCUUUUAAGCCACCAAGCUUUUAGUAAUUUGUUAUAGCAGCCAUAGGAAACUACUACACCUGCACACACAGACACUCACUCAGGACCACCUUUAUAAGCAGAGACCCACUAGUUAGACCACUUUCUCACUUAAAAAACCUAACUCCCAAAGUUCCCACUAUGGCACAGUGGGUUAAGGAUCCAAUUGUAGAAGCUCAGGGCACUAUGGAGGCAUGGGUUUGAUCCCUGGCCCAACUCAGUGAGUUAAGGAUCAGGCAUUGCUGUGGCUGUGGGAUUGGUCACUGUUGCGGCUCAGAUUUGAUCCCUAGCCUGAGAACUUCCAUAUGCUGUGGGUGCGGCCCCGCCUCCGGAAAAAACAACCAAGUCCUAUAAAGGAGAGUUGGUGAAGAGGAUACAAAGCCUUUGAUAACUUAACUAAAUCCUUCUCUAAGUAAGUGAAACAAUAUAAAUCAAAUUUUCUCUCUUCUCACCUUGAAAACCAGAGGAUAAAUAACAAUGUCACUAAGUUUUAUAUACAUAUAUAUGUUAUAUAUAGAUAAGUUUUAUAUUUACAUAUAUAUUUGUUACACUACUUUAGCCUCAUGGUUAUGUGUUCUGAUUUUGUGUCCCAUUGGUCUACUGUGAAAUUGUCAAGCAGCAACAGUGAUUUUUCACAUGCAGUUGUGGACUCAGUCUCACUGCUGCAUCUUACUUAGUAAUCCCUGACCACAAAAUCCUACACAAUCUGUGACUUCUUGCAGUCUUUUGUGUUGACAUAAUGUGCAAUAGCUUUUUAUUACCUAUGCAGGAACCCAAGAAGGAUCCUUUUUUGUCUCAUUCUAACUAUUUAAUUCUACAUACAAAAUACUUUAAUUUUUCAUACAAGAUAAACACUAGAUGCUGACUUUCCUAAAAUAGCCAAUAAGACAAAUCAUAAUCAUAUGACCUUCAUAUAUUAUAUUAUGGAAAAAUCAGAUGCAUAAUCUGAUCAACCAGCAUUUGAAUAGGCUUGAAUAGUUGGAGAUUAUAUACUGAGUCAAUUGUGACUAGUUUUAAUAGUCUGAAAUGUAACCUUAAAAGAUGGCAUAAUUAAUACUUCUUUGCCUGGUUUUUGAUACUUCUAUAGCCAAGAACCAAAUGCUUCUAAAGUGUCUAAAGUGUGACAAAUGAUGGUUCUAAUUAAAACUGAUCAAACACUUAGCUGUGCUGCUUAAUGGUAUAAUGCCCUUAAGAGGAUUAGACAGAUAAUUCUGGAAAUAUACAAAGCCACGGUAUUUGUUAAUGAAUUUCUGAUAGAAAGAAUAAAACAUUUGAGUGUUUCAAUAAAUGACCACAUGUAACUUCUCAUUUGUCC